rnacentral:miRNA from 1 species
GUGGGACAGCCUCAUUCCAGCGU